rnacentral:rRNA from 1 species
ACCACCCGGGCAUUGCCUUAGUAACGGCGAGUGAAGCGGCAAAAGCUCAAAUUUGAAAUCUGGUACCUUCGGUGCCCGAGUUGUAAUUUGGAGAGGGCAACUUUGGGGCCGUUCCUUGUCUAUGUUCCUUGGAACAGGACGUCAUAGAGGGUGAGAAUCCCGUGUGGCGAGGAGUGCGGUUCUUUGUAAAGUGCCUUCGAAGAGUCGAGUUGUUUGGGAAUGCAGCUCUAAGUGGGUGGUAAAUUCCAUCUAAAGCUAAAUAUUGGCGAGAGACCGAUAGCGAACAAGUACAGUGAUGGAAAGAUGAAAAGAACUUUGAAAAGAGAGUGAAAAAGUACGUGAAAUUGUUGAAAGGGAAGGGCAUUUGAUCAGACAUGGUGUUUUGUGCCCUCUGCUCCUUGUGGGUAGGGGAAUCUCGCAUUUCACUGGGCCAGCAUCAGUUUUGGUGGCAGGAUAAAUCCAUAGGAAUGUAGCUUGCCUCGGUAAGUAUUAUAGCCUGUGGGAAUACUGCCAGCUGGGACUGAGGACUGCGACGUAAGUCAAGGAUGCUGGCAUAAUGGUUAUAUGCCGCCCGUCUUGAACCCGGGAACCA